AUUGAACGCUGGCGGCAGGCCUAACACAUGCAAGUCGAACGAGUGGCGGACGGGUGAGUAAUGUCUGGGAAACUGCCCGAUGGCGGGGGAUAACUACUGGACACGGUAGCUAAUACCUCAUACCAUCAGAUGUGCCCAGAUGGGAUUAGCUAGUUGGUGGGGUAACGGCUCACCGAGGCGACGAUCCCUAGCUGGUCUGAGAGGAUGACCAGCCACCCUGGAACUGGGACACGGCCCAGACCCCUACGGUAGGCAGCAGUGGGGAAUAUUGCACAAUGGGCGCAAGCCUGAUGCGGCCAUGCCGCGUGUAUGAAGAAGGCCUUCGGGUUGUAAAGUACUUUCAGCGGGGAGGCGUUACCCUCAGAAGAAGCACCGGCUAACUCCGUGCCAGCAGCCGCGGUAAUUC
rnacentral:rRNA from 1 species